rnacentral:piRNA from 1 species
UUACAUGUGGUCAAGUUGAGGUCUUUAGU